rnacentral:rRNA from 1 species
GACGAACGCUGGCGGCGUGCUUAACACAUGCAAGUCGAACGGAAAGGCCCCUUUGGGGGUACUCGAGUGGCGAACGGGUGAGUAACACGUGAGUAACCUGCCCUUGACUUCGGGAUAACUUCAGGAAACUGGGGCUAAUACCGGAUAGGAAUCCUUGCUGCAUGGUGGGGGUUGGAAAGCUUCGGCGGUUUUGGAUGGACUCCGGCUUAUCAGCUUGUUGGUGGGGUAGUGGCUUACCAAGGCUUUGACGGGUAGCCGGCCUGAGAGGGCGACCGGCCACAUUGGGACUGAGAUACGGCCCAGACUCCUACGGGAGGCAGCAGUGGGGAAUAUUGCACAAUGGGCGGAAGCCUGAUGCAGCAACGCCGCGUGCGGGAUGACGGCCUUCGGGUUGUAAACCGCUUUCAGCAGGGGCGAAGCUUGUGGUGACGGUACCUGCAGAAGAAGCACCGGCUAACUACGUG